UUACGGCCAUAUCACGUUGAAACACCGGUUCUCGUCUGUUCACCGAAGUUAAGCAAAGUUAAACCUGCUUAGUGCCUAGAUGGACAAACGUUCGGGAAUACCAGUUGCUGUAA